rnacentral:lncRNA from 1 species
ACUCUUGCUUCAUUUUCUUGUGCUGAUUCUAUAGCUGUGAUGGUGGGAUGCUAGAUGAAGAACACAAAGACAACAGUGAAGUGAAUACAUUUAUAUUGAUGGGACAGAUGAAAAUUACUUAGUCUUUGGAAGAAGAAAGAGGAGGGUAUAGUCUGGUAUGAAAUGUUUACAUCCAGCCUAAUGCUUUUAUGGGACAAGAAAAUAGUUUUUGGGCACAUUCUGCAAUCAAUUUCUGGAAAUGGAGAGGGAACUCACUCUCCAUUUAUCUUGAAUGAGAAUUGACCAGUUCUACAAAAUUUCAGCUGCAAAAGGCAAGUGAUGGAUAUUUUUUAAAGGCUCCAAAUAAGGAUUUCCAUGUUAAAACAUGAAAGCCUCAGUGCUGUGGCAAAUCCUGAAGAAGAAGCAGCCUCAUGAGUCAUCUAUGUUUUCACAGAAAAGGAAGCGAGCACAAAGAAGUUUCACAUGAAUCCAAGACAAAUGGAAUAGUGAAGAUUCACUGGGCAUCAUGUAUCAAAUUCUAUAUCACCUCUGAGUUAUACUGAUGCUUUUAAAAUAUA